rnacentral:rRNA from 1 species
UGGGGGAUAUUGCACAAUGGGGGAAACCCUGAUGCAGCAACGCCGCGUGAGGGAAGACGGUUUUCGGAUUGUAAACCUCUGUCAUCGGUGACGAUAAUGACGGUAGCCGAUGAGGAAGCUCCGGCUAACUACGUGCCAGCAGCCGCGGUAAUACGUAGGGAGCGAGCGUUGUCCGGAAUUACUGGGUGUAAAGGGUGCGUAGGCGGGAAAGCAAGUCAGGCGUGAAAUCUAUCGGCUUAACCGGUAGCUUGCGUUUGAAACUGUUAUUCUUGAGUGAAGUAGAGGUAAGCGGAAUUCCCGGUGUAGCGGUGAAAUGCGUAGAGAUCGGGAGGAACACCAGUGGCGAAGGCGGCUUACUGGGCUUUUACUGACGCUGAGGCACGAAAGCAUGGGUAGCAAACAGG